AGGGGAUAAAGGGUUACAUGGUGAAGAGAGAAAGUUGGCACAGCUAAGCAGACCAAGUGGGCUUCCUGGAGGAAGGGGCAUUCGAUUGAGAUUUGAAAGCUUUUUUUUUUUUUUUUAAAUUAUUUGACUGCACCGGGUCUUAGUUGUGGCAUGAGAACUCUGAGUUGUGGCAUGUGGGAUCUAGUUCCCUGACCAGGGAUCAAACCCAGGCCUCCUAAAUUGGGAGCGAGGAGUAUUAGCCACUGGACUACCAGGGAGGUCCCAGAUUUUUUUUUUUAAAUCUUGAGUGUUGAAAGGGAAGCAAGGUCGAGUGAAGUCCCUGACAGAAGGGGCAGCUGAGGUGAAGCAGGUGAGACCUGGACUGUGUCGAUCAGACCUAGUUGGGAUCCCAUUGCUAAGGAUGGACCAUGUGGCUUUGUGGAGGUGCCUUCUCCUCCGAACAUAUUUCCUCACUGGAAGAGAAGAAAGACUGUGAAGAUACUGAAACAACACGUGUGAAACAGCCACCCAACCCUGUGGGUGCUGCUCCUGUCUGGCUUACUCCGGUCUGACUCUAGUGGUGGCCUGGCGGGCGCUCCAGGCAGGUGGUGACACUCCUGUGUCUCUGGUUUGAAGGGAAUCAUUAGACAUCAAAUGAACACUCCUUAGGAAGAGAUAAAUGUUGUCCUCUGUCAGAGCCGUGGCCCUGUCACCAGGGCAGGUGACCAGGACUGCACAACCAACAGCCCAGGCUCUGCGGUUCCAGCUCUGCGUCCCGGCUGCUCUCCAGCAGGAAAGGAGGCCAAGGCCUGUGCCCACUUCACACAGAGCACCUCAGGGCCUCGCCCUGGGGUUCCUGCCAAAGAGUCCUUCUUGCAUCACACCUGGAGGCCACCCCAGCCAGCAAGUCCAUCAGGAGGAAUAACACGUUCAGUCAACAGGCACCUGCUUACACAUUUUCUACUCAGAGAUAACUGCUCAGUCAGAGCUCUUCAGACCUCAAAGUGGCCCGGGGCCUGGGUCUGGUGGGGAGGUGCUGCUUUGGCAACACAGAAGCCUCUGCUGCCUCUGGGAGCUGAGCCCACACCUUUCCUUCAAUCUGCAGGUGGUUUCAGAGAACAGGUCUGCAAGACAGAGGCCACCAAGCAGCUAGCUGGCAACACAAAGAGCAGCUUCCUCUCCCUUCCAGACUCAAGCAUCCCCUGGAGCGAGGCUACCUUUUGAGGGUCCGCUUGGACCUCGGUUGAUGUGUCUGCAUCCACAUGGUUUAGUUUAGCCGGUUACUUUCCUCUGGACACUAGGAGUCAGUGGCGGGGUG
rnacentral:lncRNA from 1 species